GCCGGUUUGGCGGAGCAGCUACGCGUUGGACUGCAGAUCCAAUUUACCUGGGUGCAAAUCCCAGAGCCGGCU
rnacentral:tRNA from 1 species